UCACCAGUCAACCGCUCACCAGUCACCCGUUCACCACAAAACUACUUACCAGUCAUCCGCUCACCAGUCACCCACUCACCAGUCACCCGCUUAACCUUUCACUCGCUCACAUCGGGGUUGGGAUAGGCCGAGUUGCACGAUUUUUACACAUUG